rnacentral:lncRNA from 1 species
CUGUGUUACAUUUUCGUUUUUUUUUUCGUUUAUUGUAGGCCGUUGGUUUUCUUUUUUGAACUGUUUCACAUUUUUGUCAUUUUGGAGCCUUAAUAGUAUACUCUACGGUAUGGGUUUUGUUCAUGGUUGAAGGUAGUACUGUGAAAUAAAGAUGCAUACAUGAACGUACGUCAGUCGGUCUCCGUUGAAAAUUUGUUUAAAUGGCAAUCAUACCAAAUUUGCUUAUCCUU